UACGUAGGUGGCUAGCGCUGUCCGGAUUUACUGGGCGUAAAGCGCGCGCAGGCGGUCGUUCAAGUCGAGUGUGAAAGCCCCCGGCUCAACUGGGAGGGUCACUCGAUACUGAUCGACUUGAAGGCAGAAGAGGGAAGCGGAAUUCCCGGUGUAGUGGUGAAAUGCGUAGAUAUCGGGAGGAACACCAGUGGCGAAGGCGGCUUUCGUGGGACGGUACUGACGCUGAGACGCGAAAGCCAGGGGAGCGAACGGAU
rnacentral:rRNA from 1 species